AGUCCACUUAAGCCCUGCUUAGUGUUGGGAAUCUACUCGAGCGGUGCUACCCGGGAUUUACCCUGUAGUUACCCUGUAGUUCCUCAAAGACAGCGGCGGAGUUGUGGUAUCCUCUGAGCUUAGUAAACUUUUAUCUAGCUUUCGAGUAGACCACUUCCCUUGCCGUAAAACACCCUUCUUUUGAAU
rnacentral:misc_RNA from 1 species